CACUCUAGAGAGACUGCCAGGGAUAACCUGGAGGAAGGUGGGGAUGACGUCAAAUCAUCAUGCCCCUUAUGCUUAGGGCUACACACGUGCUACAAUGGGUAGUACAGAGGGUUGCCAAGCCGUAAGGUGGAGCUAAUCCCUUAAAGCUACUCUCAGUUCGGAUUGUAGGCUGAAACUCGCCUACAUGAAGCUGGAGGUACUAGUAAUCGCAGAUCAGAAUGCUGCGGUGAAUGCGUUCCCGGGUCUUGUACACACCGCCCGUCACACCACGGGAGUUGGAGACGCCCGAAGCCGAUUAUCUAACCUUUUGGAAGAAGUCGUCGAAGGUGGAAUCAAUAACUGGGGUGAAGUCGUAACAAGGUAGCCGUAUCGGAAGGUGCGGCUGGAUCACCUCCUUUCUAAGGAGA
rnacentral:rRNA from 1 species